UACGUAGGGAGCAAGCGUUGUUCGGAUUUACUGGGCGUAAAGGGCGCGUAGGCGGCCUGACAAGUCACUUGUGAAAUCUCUGGGCUUAACCCAGAACGGCCAAGUGAUACUGUCGCGCUAGAGUGCGGAAGGGGCAAUCGGAAUUCUCGGUGUAGCGGUGAAAUGCGUAGAUAUCGAGAGGAACACCUGAGGGGAAGAAGGGUUGCUGGGCCGACACUGACGCUGAGUGCGCGAAAGCCAGGGGAGCAAACGGG
rnacentral:rRNA from 1 species